AUACGGAGGGUCCGAGCGUUAUCCGGAAUCAUUGGGUUUAAAGGGUCCGUAGGCGGGAAUCUAAGUCAGUGGUGAAAUCUUGCAGCUCAACUGUAAAAUUGCCAUUGAUACUGGAUUUCUUGAAUUAGUGUGAAGUGGUUAGAAUGUGUAGUGUGGCGGUGAAAUGCAUAGAUAUUACACAGAAUACCAAUUGCGAAGGCAGAUCACUAACACUAUAUUGACGCUAAGGGACGAAAGCGUGGGGAGCGAACAGGAUUAGAAACCCCGGUAGUCC
rnacentral:rRNA from 1 species